AUGAUAAACGCAUUCAGUAGGGUUUGUUGUAUUUAUAUUGGAAUUCUCUUUUGCUUUUGAUUUUUUUUCAUAAGCUGUAAAGGUCAUCAGAGUUGGAUUUAUACCAUUUCGUUUAUUAGGGUUUUGUUUGGUUGCAUUUUGAUAGUUGAUUUUACUUUAUCGCUGUCAUUGAAUUGGCUCAAGAGUUGAGGAGCAAUCUACUACUGAUUUUAAUAUUUAACUCCGAAGAGAUUUUAUUUGCAAUAAUUUGCUCUUUUGGGUUUUGAUUAUAUUAUUUAUUGGCCUUAUUUUCUUGUUUUUGGGUGCAUGGGCUUGUGUGAUGCACUAGGUCCUGAGAAUUGGAUCCGUUUG
rnacentral:misc_RNA from 1 species